rnacentral:rRNA from 1 species
AUACGGAGGGUGCAAGCGUUAUCCGGAAUCACUGGGUUUAAAGGGUGCGUAGGCGGAAUAUUAAGUCAGUGGUGAAAGCCUGUCGCUUAACGAUAGAACUGCCAUUGAUACUGAUAUUCUUGAAUUGGGUUGAGGUUAGCGGAAUGUGACAUGUAGCGGUGAAAUGCAUAGAUAUGUCAUGGAACACCAAUUGCGAAGGCAGCUAACUGGGCCUUGAUUGACGCUGAGGCACGAAAGCGUGGGUAGCGAACAGGAUUAGAUACCCUGGUAGUCCACGCCCUAAACGAUGCUAACUCGAUGUUUGGGACUAGAUCUUGAGCAUCCAAGGGAAACCGAUAAGUUAGCCACCUGGGGAGUACGACCGCAAGGUUGAA